GACGAACGCUGGCGGCGUGCUUAACACAUGCAAGUCGAGCGGAGCGGCGAACGGGUGAGUAACGCGUGAGUAACUGCCCCCCUCCCUGGGAUAACAGUUGGAAACGGCUGCUAAUACCGGAUAGUGGGGGAUGACUCGCGGCCUAUCGGCUUGUUGGUGGGGUAGUGGCCUACCAAGGCGACGACGGGUAGCCGACCUGAGCGGGCGACCGGCCACAUUGGGCUGAGGUACGGACCAGAGUCCUACGGGGGGCAGUGGUGGGGAAUAUUGCGCAAUGAGGGAAAGCCUGAUGCGGCAGCGCCGCGUGCGGGAUGACGGCCUUCGGGUUGUAAACCGCUUUCAGCCAGGACGCGGUAGUGGCAGAAGAAGCACCGGCUAACUACGUGCCAGCAGCCGCGGUAAUUC
rnacentral:rRNA from 1 species